rnacentral:rRNA from 1 species
CUACGGGGCGCAGCAGUGAGGAAUAUUGCACAAUGGGGGGAACCCUGAUGCAGCAACGCCGCGUGGAGGAUGACGCAUUUCGGUGUGUAAACUCCUUUUAUAUGUCAAGAAAAUGACGGUAGCAUAUGAAUAAGCACCGGCUAACUCCGUGCCAGCAGCCGCGGUAAUACGGAGGGUGCAAGCGUUACUCGGAAUCACUGGGCGUAAAGGACGCGUAGGCGGGUUGGAAAGUCAGGUGUGAAAUCCUACAGCUUAACUGUAGAACUGCACUUGAAACUUCUAAUCUAGAGUCUGGGAGGGGGAGAUGGAAUUAGUGGUGUAGGGGUAAAAUCCGUAGAGAUCACUAGGAAUACCUAAAGCGAAGGCGAUCUCCUGGAACAUUACUGACGCUGAGGCGUGAAAGCGUGGGGAGCAAACAGGAUUAGAUACCCCUGUAGUC